rnacentral:rRNA from 1 species
CCUCCCGCAAAAAUCAACGUAUAGGAGGUCCCGCCUGCCCAGUGACAAGUUAAACGGCCGCGGUAUUUUGACCGUGCAAAGGUAGCGCAAUCACUUGUCUUUUAAAUGAAGACCUGUAUGAAUGGUAGAACGAGGGCUUAACUGUCUCCCUUUUUAGGUCAAUGAAAUUGAUCUGUCCGUGCAGAAGCGGACAUAAUAAUACAAGACGAGAAGACCCUUUGGAGCUUAAGACUCCAGAUCAAUUAUGUCAAGAACUUACCAAGUUAAACCAAAUAAUAUCUGAUCCUAGUCUUUAGUUGGGGCGACCACGGGAGAAAAUAAAGCUCCCAUGAGGACUGGACCCACCUCCAGAACCAAGAAAGACAUCUCUAAGUCACAGAACCUCUGACCAUAAAGAUCCGGCCACCCGCCGACCAACGGACCAAGUUACCCUAGGGAUAACAGCGCAAUCCCCUUUCAGAGUCCAUAUCGACAAGGGGGUUUACGACCUCGAUGUUGGAUCAGGACAUCCUAAUGGUGCAGCCGCUAUUAAGGGUUCGUUUGUUCAACGAUUAAAGUC